rnacentral:lncRNA from 1 species
GGGAAGGACAUUUGGUUCCUGUGCGAAGUCUGAAGAGAUUGAACUGCAUCAGGGGAAAUGGGGGAGCGGCACUAGCCAUUGACGGAGUCGAAGCAUGGGAACGCCAUGAUCAGGUAUGGUUCAGAAAGACAAGAGUGCCCUCACUUUCCCGGUUUUCUGCCUUCGUUGUUUGCCUCAGAGUCCCCUGCUGUUCACCCCAUCAUCGGCCUCUAAAUGCCAGUGUCCAUCAAGGCCUAGUCCUUGGCAGCUCUGAACAUCCUCAUCUCACUCAUACCCAGAGCUUUGAAAACUAUGUAUUCAUAACUCCAUAUUACCUCCCUAGCCUCAAGCCCUAUUGCUUGUUACUUGGCAUCUUCCCUGAAUGUGCAAAACCACCUCAAACUCAACAUGACCGGAAUGGAAUUCAUGAUCCACUUUUCCUAAAAACCCUUGGUCCUCAACAUUUCAUAUCUCAGAAAAUGGCACUGUCUUCCAUCUAGCAUAUAAGGCAAAAACUUAGGAUUCUUUCUAGAUUAAUUCUUCUUCCUCACCACUAGCCCAUGUCCAAUUUUUCACCAAGACUUAGGGAUUUUACUUGUUAAAUGUCUUUGUAUCCAUUCACUUCCUCCAUCACUCCAUCCUCCACCUGACUCCUAGCUUUCACCCUCUCUUCUUUCAACUAUGCUGCCUCCUCUGAACUUGUGUCCCCACAUCCAGCCCCCGCGCUACACUGUAGGCCGCAUGCCUUUCUGAACAAAGUAACUUUGAUGAUGCCACUCACCUACUGAAACCUCUCUCAUGACUUUCUCCUUUUAAUAUAGAAUAAGGACCCCAAUCCUUAAUAGUUCCUACAAGGCAGUGCAUGAGCUCACAUCGGCUUCCUCUCUGGUCUCAUCUGGGGCUACAUUCCUUCUUUUUGCUCCACUCUAGUCACACUGGCCUUUUGUGAGUUUUUUAAACCUUCCAUCAUAGGGCAUUUGCACUUACCAGCCCCUCUGCCUAGAGAACUCCUUUCUGUCGCCUUCUCCCCCGUUCCCUUGCAUUCCUGUCUCCACAUGAAUGUUAGUCUUUCAGAGGAAGCUUUCCUUGGCUUGUAGGACAUCAGCACUGCCUAUAAUUAUAUUUUUAUGAUGAAUCAUUACCUGCCACUGUAGACUGUAGGCUUUGUGAAGACUAGAACUUUGUCUGUUUGGCAUGUUAUUAGAUCCUUAACACUCAGCAUUUGGAAAAACUGCUAGAUACACAAAACCUAUUUUUGAGUGACUGUAGGAGGAGAAUCUGGCAACCAGGAGACCAGUUAAGAAAAGGUAUUGUAAUAGCCCAGAGGAGAAAUGAAAAGAGUCUGAAUUAAGGCACGGUGAAGCAGGAGAGAUUUUAAGGAGGUAGUAUAUGGUUUAGGGUCUUUGGAUAUAAACAACAGAAACAGGGCACUGUCUCACUUGAGAAAAAAAAAAAAGAUUUGUUGGAGGGAUAGGGGGAGUUCAAAUUACAAAAGGAUA